rnacentral:lncRNA from 1 species
GCCUAUUUUUAUCUUACUGAGAAAAUGAUUCUUUUUAAAGAUACUGUCUAAAUUUAAUAAUCUAAAACCAAAGGAGUUUUACAAAGUAGAAGAAUUCAACCAGGAGUCACUACCAAGUUUUCCAACUUGAUUUUGCUAUGUAUCUAUAUUUUCUUUUAAAUGUCAGGUAUUGUGAGACUAUCUGCCAAAAAUAUACUCUUAUAUCCUAGGAGUAGCCUGUAUUCUCACUCACAUAUCUGAAUUUAUGAGACACUAAAAUCAUGCUUUUUAUUGGUAAAUUAUGUAUUUGUUAAGUCAAACAAAUAUUUCCAAUCAUGGGAACAAAUUAUUGUUGAAUUGAUUAAAAAAAAACUUUUCAUAUUUUUUAACUACUUGGAUUGGUACUAUGAAGAUAAGAUUCUGUUAAUAGUAAAACAUCCAUAAUACAGUCAAAGGGUCAGCUACUUAAUAAAAUACAAAAUAUAUAAAUGAUGAAUGAAUAUUAAAGUACUGUCAAAAUCAAAGAAGGAUAAUAUUCCUCCUGAAAUGUUUUGUCAUAAUGUUUAGGGCUAGAACUCAAAAAACAAAACAAAACAAAAACAAAAACAAAAAAACUAUUCUCACUGGAUGCAUGCGGCAGCAGUUUGAAUCCUAGAUCUCAGAGGUAGACUUCUGUAAGUCCAGCCUAGUCUACCAAGUUCCAGAACACCCAGGGCAACAAUAGAAAGAUGCUGUCUCCAAAACGCAAAUAUAUGCUUAAAAUCAUGAUUUUCUCGAAAAGGAAAAUACAUUUUAAAAUCUUUGACAUUUUUUUUUCCUCAUUGACAUGCAUGGUGGGCCCUUUUAUCUCAUGGCUGGGAUAGAAGGUUCCUUUCUUCCUACUGUAACUUGAUUGGUAAACCAACACCUGAAAUAUAGUGGGAAGGAAAGAGUAGAAUCUUGGGAAAUAAAGGAGCCCAACAGGAAAACUGACCAGAUGAAGAAUGCCUACAGGGCUGAGUAUUUAUCACGAGUCAAGGUCAACUUAGACACGAUUCCAGGGACUAAAUCUUCCCCCCCCCAGCCCCAACCCCAAGAGGAAACCCCCAAUUUAAACUCCAUCUAGAAACCAUAGGUUUACCACCUAAGACUCAAAGUCAGAAAGGAAGAAUCCUGAAGUGACUGAGGAAAGGUGCAUCUCAUUCGUCGAACCCUAGCAAUCGCUGAUUCCUCACUAAGUGUGGACUUUGAUGGAGUCUCUUGAGUUCUAGAAGCAGCAGCAGGGACCAUUGUAUAGCUUUAUAGUAGAGAAGUCUGAACUUGGAUGCUAUUGUACCAUAUGCCCCUCCUGAAAGCUCAGUUCUCUUCACUAACAUGAACCUGUACAGCAUCUUCCUCCCCGUGCCCGGAUAUGUUUGACUAUCCAUUCCCACUCCUGCAGCAUCUGGUCUUGUUCCAUUCUUUCAUAGACUCCACGUGUCCUCCACCUCUAAAACUUGAUUCCACAACUGAUUUCACGUCCCACAGAAGCGUUUCUUUUCACGAGGCUAAAGUUGGGAGCAGAAAAAGUCAGAAUCAACACUUCUCAAAAUAACACCCAAGAGGAGAAAUUUUCCUUUUGAAAACCUUCGGGUGUCUUAAACAAGAGACAAGUCACACGCAUGUCAUCUAAAAUUACAUCAUGGCAGCCAAUGGCACACUGUUAAAUGCAUCUAAAUUCCCUGCCUUCCUUUUUGGAAUCUGUUUACAAAAUGAUUCCUAAACACAGAUGGAACCUCUUCUGCUGGCGCAUAUUAAUUUACGUUUUUAUUUAUGCACUUCUGAUCUUUCUGACAUUUUGUCCUUUAGUUUGACACCAAGUCAUUUUUUAUACAUGUCCUGUGGAAAAGGUGGCCCUUGCCCCGCAGUCAACCUCACAAAUCCCUGACACACACACAUGCAUUUUUUAUUGUUCUCACAUGUUGCUUAACAGCCUGCAUGAUUACUGCAUUACAGCACGGCAGAUGGGUUCUUGCAUAGCGGUGAAACAGAUGAGAUGUUCAAAUCGAUUGUUUUAUCAACAAUCAGUUGCAGAUAAAAAUCAUUUUAAUGAGAGAAAUUAAUGGUGUUUGCAAACAUGAUGUUAAUUAAAGAACAUUGCUUAGGCGUUUUUUUUUUUUUCCGCUUUUUUUCCACACACAAUUUUUUGUUACCCAUGACAUCUUUCAUUAUUGACUCAUGCCCCAAAGAAAAGGCGAUUAAAAUCUGCUUUUGUUUGAUGUAGCUUUUAUUGAAGAAAGAAAUAGAUCUUUCUGAAGCUUCCUGGUGAGAUGAAAGUCUAAUUAUCUCC